CGUUUCGCUGCCGUCAUUAUGAGGAUCAGGUAACCAAAAACAACUGCACUUAUUUUUGCUUCUGGCAAAAUGGUAUGCUCCUUUGUUGCACUUGCUGCUUCUGUCAUAUAAGUGUGUUUUGUUUGCAGAAUUAUAUCUUUGCUAUUUUAAUCAUUUAUUACUAACCUAAUUCUUGAUUUGAUUCACUUCAUAUAACCAUGGUUGGGAAUUUAAAAUUUCUGUGUAUUUGCUCAUGCUUUCAGUAUGCCCGUAUCAUCCAAAAGCUUUAUUUAUAUAUUUGUUGUUUAGCCUUACUUGCUGAAUUGCCUAAUUGAAUGAUGAAAAGGUUUAGGAAGUUUUCUUAAAAUUGAAAUGGCAGAUACUUGUGUCUAUCUUCAUAUUUUGGAUUAAUGUCUAUAGGUUGAAGAAAAUAUGCUGAACUCUCUUAUAUGGGGUGAUAGUAUGAACCAGAGCUGUUUCCCGGAUUAAUCUACCGGAUGAAGCAACCAAAGAUAGUUUUGCUUAUUUUUGUCUCUGGCAAAAUUGUUCUAAUAGGAGCAAAGGCAAGAGAUGAGACCUAUGCAGCCUUUGAGAACAUAUACCCUGUGCUUACCGAGUUCAGGAAAAAUCAACAAUGAUUUUUGUCAAAAGCAGGAGCAGUUUUCAUAUGGUUUUACUUUCAGUUACCAAAGUUAAAUGGUUUUACUUUCAGUUUUCAUAUUAUUUGAAUGGCGUUUAAACAUUUGCUCCUGCAUUACAGUUUUGUAGUUGAUUUGAACUUGUUAAAAAAAGCACUUUCUUUUUGAACUAUGAAGUUUAUAGAUUGUUUAGUUCUAAAUCUUGUUCAGAUCAAGAUGUCCAUGAAAGGAAAAAGUUUUUCGAGUGGAUUUUAGGAAUUGGUGAUGGAAAUGUGGGAGAAAACAAUGUAGACAUCAAUGUAUAAUAUCCCAAAUGAUCUAUUUAUUCAAAACUUUUGUGAUCCUAUUGCAGCUAUAGU